GACGAACGCUGGCGGCGUGCCUAACACAUGCAAGUCGAGCGGUAAGGCCCUUUCGGGGGUACACGAGCGGCGAACGGGUGAGUAACACGUGGGUGACCUGCCCUCAGCUCUGGGAUAAGCCCGGGAAACUGGGUCUAAUACCGGAUAUGACUCCAUGACGCAUGUUGUGGGGUGGAAAGCCUUGUGCGGCUGAGGAUGGGCCCGCGGCCUAUCAGCUUGUUGGUGGGGUGANGGCCUACCAAGGCGACGACGGGUAGCCGGCCUGAGAGGGCGACCGGCCACACUGGGACUGAGACACGGCCCAGACUCCUACGGGAGGCAGCAGUGGGGAAUCUUGCGCAAUGGGCGAAAGCCUGACGCAGCGACGCCGCGUGAGGGAUGACGGCC
rnacentral:rRNA from 1 species